rnacentral:rRNA from 1 species
GCAGCCGCGGUAAUACGUAGGGUGCGAGCGUUAAUCGGAAUUACUGGGCGUAAAGCGUGCGCAGGCGGUUUGUUAAGACAGUUGUGAAAUCCCCGGGCUCAACCUGGGAACUGCAAUUGUGACUGGCAGGCUAGAGUUUGGCAGAGGGGGGUGGAAUUCCUGGUGUAGCAGUGAAAUGCGUAGAUAUCAGGAGGAACACCGAUGGCGAAGGCAGCCCCCUGGGCCAUGACUGACGCUCAUGCACGAAAGCGUGGGGAGCAAACAGGAUUAGAUACCCUGGUAGUCCACGCCCUAAACGAUGU